GUUCUGUAACACCGAUCAUACUUGUUACCCUUCUCUGAGUCUUUCACAACCUAGCUAUACUCUUUCUGAGAAGGGGAACCAGACCUGCACAGAAUGCGUGAUGGGACACACGCUGAGGCACCAGGGAGGAGCUGGAGAAUGAAUCAGUCAAGUUUGUGUGUACAAAAGGCAUUCUUUAAAGUCUUUGCUAUAGCAGACCACGCAGUGUCUGUUACCAUGAAGUCUGACAUCAAUAUCACCUCUUCUUUGAGCCCGUGCCUCAUUUUCAAAAAUACAAAGGCACAAAUACAUAUGCUCCUAAUUUAAAGACCUCCGGAAGUAGAGCAUCACUCCGGCCAAGGAAAGGCUUGCAAAAAGGCCAUGCAAUGAAUUAGUCAAAGUAGAACUGGAAAGACUGAUCUCAGUUUCCUGACCUUUUCACUCUUUUAUAUUCUUUCAAUAGUUUGGAAGUGGAUUGUAGUAUUCUUAACUGCGUUUGUACCUUCUUAAAUCUAUUUAUAACAAUAUAUUCAACAACAACCAAGCACUUUCACCCUGCAAAAUGCAACAGAUUUGAAUAAACUACGGAAACUUUGUAAUGUGUUAUCUGAU
rnacentral:lncRNA from 1 species